CUGAAACCUCAGACCCCGUAAGAACACCGAAGUUAAGCAACGUCGUGCCUGGUCAGUACCUAGAUGAGUAACCGCUUGGGAAUACCAGGUGCUGUGA